ensembl:lncRNA
CUCAAAUUUGAGCAGAUCUGUGCCUCAAAGAACUUUGAGAAAUAUUGAAAGUUUCCUGAAACUCAGGCCCUGAGAACCUUUGCUGGAAGGGUCUGUGACUGACAUAAUCACCCCUCGUCGUCUGUCAUCCUCACCCACCAUCGUGCCAUGGGAAUACAGCAUGCUGAGCUUGGUCCGAGAGAAACGCGCCUGAUCGUCUCGCGGUCUGACGGAAGCCCAGCUUCUCUCGGGUAUGAUGCCUGCUCCAGGGUUUCACCCGCAUCAGCUGCUUACUUUGCAGCUCUCUGUUGUCGUAACAUCAAGGUUCUCGGUUGCAAACAACAGGCUCAGUCUGUCCCUAACUUAGACAGAAAUGGAAUUUCUUGGAAAGACAAAGGACAGAGAAUCAGGCAAGAACAGGCAGAACCCUGGGGAGGUUUGUCACAGAAACGGUCUGGCGCGGCUGUGGCAGGACACUGGACGCGCUGUGGUAGACUCUCGCCACCAACACUGCUGUGCCGUCCCCUGGCCCUACUUGGGCAGUCCAAGUGCUGAGCCCGGCCCUCGCCCUGAAGAGGCUGGGAAGAAGGAACUUCUGGUUUCCUGUGGCUUCAGUAGUGCGCGCCGCCUCCUGCAAAGACUCACAUGGUAGAGAACAUUCCCCAAUGAGACGGACGAAAGUGGAAGAGCAUGGCGAGUGGCCACUGCAGCCGCUCCUCUCAAAACUGCACCACUGCGACUUCUCAGAUGUCUCGUGGUGGGGAGAAUGGGUAUAGUUACUGCCUACUGAGUGAUUACUACGUGCCUGGAUUGCUCGAAGCACUUUGUGUGGAUUCUUAUAUCACCCUCAUGAUAACUCAACAAGACAGCAAAUCAGUGAGAAUAAGCUAGACUAUGGUGCAAAGUCUCAAUGGCUUCACCCAACACACGUCUAUUUUUGUGCUCAUGUUGAGUCCACUGCAGACCUGGGCAGCCAUUCUCCAUAUGGCAGGUCAGGCCCCAUCCUCCGUCCUCCACCCUCCAUCCUCCACGUGGAGGCUCAGCCCCCACCCUCCAUCCUCCAUCCUCCACAUGGAGGCUCAGCCCCCAUCCUCCAUCCUCCACAUGGAGGCUCAGCCCCCAUCCUCCAUCCCCCAUCCUCCACUUGGAGGCUCAGCCCCCAUCCUCCAUCCCCCACAUGGAGGCUCAGCCCCCAUCCUCCAUCCCCCAUCCUCCACAUGGAGGCUCAGCCCCCAUCCUCCAUCCUCCACAUGGAGGCUCAGCCCUCAUCCUCUAUCCUCUACUCAGAAGCUCGGCCCUCGACCUGCAUCCUCUAACUAAUAAUGAGUGUUGGCAGGGAUAUGAAGAAAUUGGAAGCCUUAUACAUUGUGAGUGAGGAUGGAAAAUGGUGCAGCUGCUUAGAAAUUCCUUUAAAAUACUAAAUGUAGAAUUAUCCUAUGACUCAGAAACUCCACUUCUAUGUAUGCGCCCAAGAGGAAAGAAAACUUAUGUCCACAAAAACUUGUACGUGAAUGUUCUUAGCCAUACUGCUCAUAACAGCAAAAAGUGGAAACAACCCAAAUGUCAGCUUAUGAACGGAUGUAUCAAGUGUAGUAUAUUCACAUCGUGGAAUACUGUUUGGCAAUAAAAGGAAAUGAAGUACUG